CAGGUACCAACUGCAGAGUUGCACCUGGAUUCCUGUGCACGGCAAUGUUUGUGUUCAAAGACACCCCCAGAUCUGCGCUGAGGGGAAGAUGCUUUCUUGAGAUAGGACCCUGCCAUCUUUUUAGGCUGCUGGUGCCUGGAAUCAGCUCAUUGUCCUGGCAACAGACUCUGCCUCUUCUGACUCCCUUCCCGACACCCCCUCCCCCUGCCCGCCAGCCCUCAGUGAUGAACAUUAAACUUUGAUCCUGGGUAA